rnacentral:rRNA from 1 species
CUACGGGAGGCUCCAGUGAGGAAUAUUGCACAAUGGGGGGAACCCUGAUGCAGCAACGCCGCGUGGAGGAUGACGCAUUUCGGUGUGUAAACUCCUUUUAUAUGUCAAGAAAAUGACGGUAGCAUAUGAAUAAGCGCCGGCUAACUCCGUGCCAGCGAGCCGCGGUAAUACGGAGGGUGCAAGCGUUACUCGGAAUCACUGGGCGUAAAGGACGCGUAGGCGGGUUGGAAAGUCAGGUGUGAAAUCCUACAGCUUAACUGUAGAACUGCACUUGAAACUUCUAAUCUAGAGUAUGGGAGGGGGAGAUGGAAUUAGUGGUGUAGGGGUAAUAUCCGUAGAUAUCACUAGGAAUACCUAAAGCGAAGGCGAUCUCCUGGAACAUUACUGACGCUAAGGCGUGAAAGCGUGGGGAGCAAACAGGAUUAGAUACCCUUGUAGUC